rnacentral:rRNA from 1 species
AUUGAACGCUGGCGGCAGGCCUAACACAUGCAAGUCGAACGGGUGGCGGACGGGUGAGUAAUGUCUGGGCAACUGCCUGAUGGAGGGGGAUAACUACUGGAAACGGUAGCUAAUACCGCAUACCGUCAGCUGUGGCCAGCUUGGAUUGGCUAGUUGGUGGGGUAACGGCUCACCAAGGCGACGAUACCUAGCUGGUCUGAGAGGAUGAGCAGCCACACUGGAACUGAGACACGGUCCAGACUCCUACGGGAGGCAGCAGUGGGGAAUAUUGCACAAUGGGCGCAAGCCUGAUGCAGCCAUGCCGCGUGUAUGAAGAAGGCCUUCGGGUUGUAAAGCACUGUCAGCGGGGAGGCGUUACCCGCAGAAGAAGCACCGGCUAACUCCGUGCCAGCAGCCGCGGUAAUAC